CCCUUAGAUGUUCUGGGCCGCACGCGUGCUACACUGAGUGGAUCAGCGGGUCAGGUUGCGCGAAAGCGUUUCCUAAUCUUUAAAUCCGCUCGUGAUGGGGAUUGACGGUUGCAAUUUUCUGUCAUGAACGAGGAAUACCUUGUAAGCGCGGGUCUUCAUCCCGCGCUGAAUACGUCCCUGCCCUUUGUACACACCGCCCGUCGCUCCUACCGAUUGAGUGGUCCGGUGAGGCUUUGGGAUCUGAGCGGAAAGAGCGUUUCGCUGUUUCUGCUCGGAAAACUCAGUCGAACCUUAUCAUUUAGAGGAAGGAGAAGUCGUAACA
rnacentral:rRNA from 1 species